CACCGUUCAAUACCAUUUUAUUUUGAUGCUUGGAGCAUCUGUCGUUGCCAUUGAUCAUAUCACAGGGACAUUUUGUAGGCAGGACACCCAUGUCUCAACAUGUUGGUUACUACUGUUAGCAUACCUCAUCCGUCGGUGUUGUUCACAUUGUUGCUGAUAUGAGCAUAUGGAUUAUGUUCUAUCUGAGCUGAUGUGCUUCUUUCUUCAUGAGUAUGUGAGACAUGCUAAAUGCAGAUCUCAUUCGCUUCUGAUCUGGAACUUUGCCUCAUAUCCUUCGGUGACAGCACUGUUUUUGUUGUGGGUGGUUCCUUUCUGAGUCUUUUUUCAUGUUCAUUCCAUUCCUUGUGCAUGUUUUCCUUUCGUCCAGGUGAUCCUUUAGACCCUUGAUCACAGUAGUUCAUAGAUGUGGCUGUGAAGGACAUUGAGUUAUAGCAAUCAAAAUGGACUUGAUUUUUUUCUGUUCGUCAGGCAACUGCCUGUAGUAUGUGUUUUGGUGCGGUAAAAUGUUAACAUUUUCGUGAAAAGCUUAUGGACUUCAAAUGGUGUCAGCAAUAGUGAUUUUAUAUCUUAUUUCUUUUUUCUCCCUGUAGGAUUGAACCAAGGGGUCAGUGGUCUUCCAUUGAAAGGCUGGCCUUUAACAGUAAGCAGUUUUCUGUGUAGAUCUGAAAGUUUGUUGCCUCAUUCCUUGACCUUUCAUGAAUUUUUAACAACUUCAGGGUUUCCUGAUGUGUACAGGGAAUCGACCAGUUGCGCCCAAGCAUUGGGCCUCAGGUGCAGAAACCAUUUUUGCCGACGCAAAAUCAAUUUCAACUGUUGACACCACAGCAGCAACAACAGCUUCUAGCUCAGGCUCAUAUUCAAGGCAACCUUGGCAGCACCCCUACCUAUGGUGAUAUGGACCCCCAAAGAUUUAGGCUCUUGCCACGUGGAAACUUAAAUGGAGUAGAUGGUCAGUCUGCAGGAAAUGAUGGGGCAAUGAGCUCUACAAUUCAGUCAGGUUCACCAAAAGUCAGACCAGAUCAAGCUGAGUACCUUUUAAAGGUUGGUUUAUGCAUUUACGUUAGGUCAUAUAUAGCCACUUUAAAGAUUCUUACAGUAAACUAAUAUUCUUAUUCUUAGGUAUGUUGUAACUUUUGAGUAUCCUUGUUAUAAUAAAAAGCAGUCUUGUGAAGUUAUGAGGUCUUACUAUCUGAAAUUAUUUCUAAAGUGAGGGAAAUGUAAUGCAUCAUUAUUAGUGGAGAUUUGUAUUAACAAGCAAUUAAUCUUGAAACAUUUGCUUUUAUCCUUACCGACUGAAAUUUCCAUGAUAUUCUGGAUUUAUUCUAUUUUUAUUCAUGGAUAACUGGUAGAUUUGAGAAGAUUUAACCCAUAGAGGUCGUUCAAGAACCACUGUUCUUAACGAAAAUCUAAAAUGACUUAUAUUACUAUAUAGAAAAUAUGGUAAAUCUGCCAAAAGAGUUGGCUUUUUAGGAUAUUUCUUCAGAUAUGAGGGUGAGAAGAUGGGCUUAUCGGAUGCAUACAUUUACUGCAAUCCAUGUAAUAUUUAUUUUUCAACAUGGGUCACCAAGAAUGAGUUGCCUUUUAAAUAAUCCAUAACCACUUGAUCUAUAAAUUCUUUUCGGAAAAAACCUGACACCUGCUGCAAUUGUAAUUCCAUGCAUCCAGUUGAACUUCAGCAGAUGGAUUCUUCUCAUGUCCAUGGCAGCUCCUUUCUCAGAAUCAAGCUCACAUCUUAGGUCCUUACAUGGCAACAUGAGUUGCUAAAACGAAGGAGAUUUAAGCAGUGAAGUUGGAGGGAAUAAUCUGGGAAAAUAUAUCCUCAUCUUGCAAAAAGCUUGUCUUCACUAGUGUCCUUCCCACUAAUUAAGAUGAAGACAUCAGGAAGCGGACUCUGUCUCCAAGAAAAAAAACUCAUCUGUCCAACUCUCUUGCCCCAAAACUUGUGUUGAUAUCCGCAAUAUGGAUUUCUGAAGUCAUCAGUCAUUUUGAUUAAUGGUCAUGAUGUAAUAAUCAGAUAAAUCUGUUAUAAGGAUGAAUAAUGUGAUAAGUGGUUUGAAAAAAUAGUUUUCUCAUUUUUUUUCUAAUUAAGGGAACGCAGAUAGUAUUCUCAUUAAAAGUUUUCACGGAACAUGAACCAAUCCUUCAUUUAAAGUUUAUAAAUAGGUUGUCAUGCCAUUAUAUUUAGUUUCAUCUUUCAUUAUUGAGAAACUUUAUUCUCUUUCUGACAUAAAUGGAAAGCAAUGUCCUUUACUAGUGUUUAGACAUCAAACAACCUUGAGCACAUUUGAUUGCCUGUGUUUUCAGGCUUUUGCUGUUAUCGAAAUUAUUGAGCUCCAUUACCAAAACAACAUCUAACGUUCGGCUUGUUUCUCAAAUAGAUGAAGAUGGCGGCCCAGAUGCAGCAUUCUUCCUCUCAACCAUCUCAAGAUCAACUGCAGCAGCAGCAGCAACAACAGCAACAACAGCAGCAGCAUUUGCAACAGGUAUCAAAACGUAAAUAUGCUUUUUUUCUCUUAUUCAGAUCACUUUUCAAAUGUGCGACAAAGACCUGAUAAAUUUGUCUUACAUCUAUUGGAUGCAUAACAUCAGAAUAAUAGGAAAAGGAAACCUACUUCCUCUGGAGCUGCAAAUAGUACUGGCACGGGAAAUACAGUGGGGCCUUCUAAUUCCCCUCCAUCAACUCCGUCCACUCAUACUCCUGGUGAUGGAGGACCAUUGUCUGGAAACUUACAGCAUAUUAAUAAUAUGCCAAAGAGUUUAAUGAUGUAUGGCACAGAUGGAACAACUACGCUUGCAUCAUCUUCAAAUCAGCUGGUAAACCCCCUAUUUCUUUUGGUCUUGUUCUUUUUCUCCUGGUGCAUAUCAUUUUAUUUUUUUUGAUUUUCAAUCCACAUUGUAGGAUGACAUGGAACAUUUUGCGGAUGUUGGUUCCUUGGAUGAUAACGUGGAAUCUUUUCUCUCUCAUGAUGAUGGAGAUGCACGAGACAUUUUUGCUGCAUUGAAAAGAAGUCCAGUUGAGCACAACACAGAAUCAGCAAAGGGUAACUAAUGAUAUUUGCCAUCUGUCAAAUAAUAGUACUUCUGCAAAGUAGAUGUAACAGUGCUGAAAAUGUCUUCCAGGUUUCACUUUUAGUGAAGUCAGUUGCAUACGUGCAAGUAAUAGCAAGGUGAAUUGCUGCCAUUUCUCGUCCGAUGGAAAAUUGCUGGCAAGUGCUGGACAUGAGAAAAAGGUAGCACAUUGUGACCUAACAUUGCUCUUCGGGUAUUUUGUUAGGCCAUAGAAACUUGAUGAUGAGGGUUUCUAGUGCGUUGUCAUCCUCGUUGGGUAGCUAUCUAAUAGUUAUUUCUUAACCUGAGAUAUCUAAGACCUGUGUGCUACAUUGAAGCUUGAUGAUAUGAUAUUUCUCUAUGCGUAUAUAUUCACAUUUGAUGUGUAUCCAAUUUCCUGUGCCGCAUAAUUAGUCAGGUUUUUCUACCAAGAACAUGAACUUGAAAAGUUUAUUUUCUUAAUUAUCAUGUCUCUUACGUGAUGUCUUUUGAAAAUAUUUCCUAAUACUGAUCUUUAUGUUGCAGGUUAUUAUCUGGAACAUGGACACACUAAAAACUGAGAGCUCUCCAGAGGAACACACUCUUCCGAUCACUGACAUCCGCUUUAGGCCAAACUCAACUCAGCUUCUAACAUCUUCAUUUGACAGAACAGUGCGACUGUGGAAUGCAGCUGAAGUAAGCUUUUUUGGUUUUUCAUAUCUUUCUUGUAUCUCGCUUGAAUUGAAUCAUUUUUCUUUCUGAAUUUCCUGUUGCUUUUUAAAUUCUUCCACGUGUGGUUGCUGGGCACUGUCACCUACAAAAUCUUUAAUGUUCCUGAGAUCAGGAAGAAAAAAAACUCAUUCAUUGAUUUUUUUUUAAAAUUGAGUGACGUUCGAUUGUGGGAUUAUUAGAUAGGUUUUCAUUUGAACGAGUUUGUUUCCACUCGAGCUCGGUGGUUAGAUUCUGAUGCAGAGAUCAAUGGCUUUGCUUGCAGCCGCAUUUUUCCUUGCACACGUUUACUGGGCACAAUUCUCCUGUGAUGUCCGUUGACUUCCAUCCCAAGAAGACCGAUCUAUUCUGCUCAUGCGACGGCAAUGGCGAGAUGAGGUUCUGGAACACUAGCAACUUCGCCCUCUCUCGCGUCUCCAAGGUCUGAAAUGUCCCGCACAGUUCUUCUUUAGAUCAAACUCUUUCUCCGGCUGAGAUGAAGACCUAUUCGUGCUUAAAAUGUCAGGGCGCUACGGGCCAAGUUAGGUUCCAGCCCAGACUCGGCCAGCUCCUGGCGGCAUCCGCAGAAAAACUGGUUUCCAUAUUUGACAUUGAGGCCGACCGGCAGAUACGCACGCUACCGGUAAAAACGACCCAAGUGAUUGCAUGGGUUUCAUGUUUAGAAAUUUAUUUAUUAUUAAUAGGUUUUUUUUGGAUAAUUAUUUGGUCUCCUAAUGAUCCAUAUUGAUAAAAGCCAGUCAUGCUAUGGUCUCUUGUUAGGUGAGGAAUAAUUUUUAUUACCAUCGUUGGUUUUUAUUUGUGGAUAAAUCUUUCCCCCCCUGUAAUAAUCCAUUGCUCAUUAAUCUCAGUAAAUAUCAUGGUAUUAUGUUUGGCAAAAAAGGAAAUUGAUAUUAUUAUUAUUAUCCUCAAUUCAUAUUUUAUCAUUGUUUAGGGACACACCAAAGAGGUGAGCUCGAUCUGCUGGGACUCGAAUGGAGAUUUCUUGGCAUCCGUUUGUGCGGAUUCGGUGAGGGUCUGGUCAGCGUCUGGGGAGUGCAUCCACGAGUUCAAUUCCAGCGGGAACCAGUUCCAUUCAUGUGUUUUCCACCCCAACUACUCCACUCUAUUGAUCAUCGGCGGGUACCAGGUAAUUUCGCUGGUUAUUUCCUAUUUUCCUUAAAAAAGUUGUUUUCCAUGUGUCCUCCUUCCCAUAAUCUCUCUCUCUCUCUCUCCUCUCUCUCUCUCUCUAUCUAUCUAUCUAUCUAUCUAUCUAUCUAUCUAUCUAUCUAUCUAUCUAUCUAUCUUUCCUGCUAUUUCUCUCUCUAUUUCACUUUCUCACUCUAUUUCUCUCUCUCUCUCUCUCUAUCUUUCCUGCUACAUCUCUAUUCACUUUCUCACUCUAUUUCUCUUUCUCUUUUUCUCUCUCUCUCUCUCUCUCCCUUUCCUGCUAUUUCUUCUCUCUAUUUCUACUCUCUCGCUCUAUUUCUCUCUCUCUCUCUCUCUCUCUCUAUCUUUCCUGCUAUUUCUCUCUAUUCACUUUCUCACUCUAUUUCUCUCUUUCUCUCUCUCCUUCCUGCUAUUUCUCUCUCUAUUUCACUUUCUCACUCUAUUUCUCUCUUUCUCUCUCUCCUUCCUGCUAUUUCUCUCUCUAUUUCACUUUCUCACUCUAUUUCUCUCUCUCUCUUUUCACUUUCUCACUCUCUCUCUCUAUUUCUCUAUCUCUCAGUCAUAGCAAUAUCUAUGCAAAGAAUGUAGUUGAUGGGUUUUUUCCACUUAUUUGAUAAGAUAAUAUCUAAAAAAAUCCGAGUGUUUGAUCUUAGAUCCACCAAUCUUUGACCCACCGAGAUACAUGACCAUUCCACUUGCACGUGUUCGACAAAAUCCCUGCAUAUCGUUUCCCCAUUCAACUUCACCAAGGUUCCUGAACCCUUCCCAUCUCAUCAUUUUCCACACUCUCAACACGUGAAAAUCGCCGCUAGAAUAUUCCCAUUUUUGGAAAUAAGGUGAGACUAAUUCCCCGUCGUUUGUACUUUCUGGAAUGUUCCCAUAUUUGGGCUCUGUUCAUCUUACUAGAUCGACCGAUUCGUGAUCAUCCUGCUCAUCCGUGGCUUCUGUGCAGACGCUGGAGCUUUGGAACAUGGCCGAGAACAAGAACAUGCCCGUCCAGGCGCACGACAACCUGAUCGCCGCCCUGGCGCAGUCCCCCCUCACCGGCAUGGUCGCCUCCGCCAGCCACGACAAGUCGGUCAAGCUCUGGAAAUAGUUCGCCCAUGGAAUCAACGAUACCCCAUAUAGAAAACGCAAUCAGAAAAAGAAAAAAAAACAAACAAACGGAUUCCUAUCCGGUCUUCCACCCCCCUCAUUCACCCCCCUGUUUCUCCAUCCCCCCGUCAAUAAGAAGCUGGGGUGCUUCUGUCGCUGCGUCGGAACAUAGAACAUGAGUGGGUUGCUCGCAAUAGAUUAGAAUUCGGAGGGUUUGAGUGUCGAUUUUUCUGCACUUGAUGUGCUCUUUCUCUCUCUAGAUUUCCAUCGCUGGUCUGAUGUCCUGGGUUGCAGAUGACAAGACGGCGGAGAUGCCCCCGCUCCCGUGGUUCUGCGAUCCUCUCUCGGCUCCUCUUUGUGCCGUCUCAGUAAUCAAAUCCAUCGGCGUCCGCCCUUCUUCUUCUUCCUUCCGCUUCUUGGAUUGGACGGCGACGAGCGGCUGCAGAGAAGGGUGGGAAGGCGGAAGAAGGAAGCCGAGGAUAACAGCGGUGAUCCCAGCGAGAGAGAGAGAGAGAGAGAGAGGGGAGAGCCGAUCUUCUCUAUCUCACCCUCAUUUCGUGGCGCCGCCAUUAUCGGCCCGUCGUUUUCGUCACAGGGGGAGACCGAGAGCCCGACAGAGAGAAGCCCGAGGGCGCAGGCGCAGAGCACCGCCCGCUGCCUCGCGGGGCCGAUAGAGAUGGAUCCUAUCCUUCCGUUCCCUUGAGCGGCGGAGCUCUCACAUCUGCAGCCAAAGCGCCAGCUGACUGGGAUUGACGACGCCCGGGAUGUGGGCCCCAUCCGUCUUCAGCAGGUGCGCCACCUCCUCGUACGCCGCCACCGCUGGCUUCUCCGGCGCCCCCGCUGGCUUCCUUCCCUGCUGCUCCGUGGUCUCCGGCCGGCGGCGAUUUGGCGGCCUAGCGGCAGCGGCGGCCUCCCAGGGCUUCCCAAAUAAGGUGCCCUUGUUGAGAAACUCGUGCGCCAGGUAACCCGCUAGAAGCAAGUUCCCGCCCGCGCCAGCCGGUUUCGCCGUUUGCUGCUGCGGCAAGGGCGUAGCAGAGAAGACCGGUUUCACCGGCUGCUGCUGGGGGGCUGGUGGGCCCGGGAAGACUGGUUUCACCGGCUGCUGCUGGGGGGGGAGUGGGCCGGGAAAGGCCGGUUUCACCGGCCGUUGCUGGAGUGGGAGUGGGCCCGCCAAGACAGCCGGUUUCUUUGGCUCGGCUUUUGUCGGCACGUGGGGCUGGUGGGCCCAAGGCCCGCCUCUAUCCUUCCGCUUCCGAGAGGUCGCCAGCGGCGCCAAGGCCUGAGGGCCGCCGCUGCUGAUCUGGCUCGACGACAUUCCGGCCCCGGAUACCAACCGAAAAAAGAAAAGAACCGUGGGCGCAGCUGCUAACAACCGUUUUUCUCAGGGGUGAGAUUGAUAAAAAGCGGAGAGAGAAGAAUGGCCGGUGGCCGGAGAUCGGCGUUGGAGUCGGCACGUGGCUGGCGAAAAUUCUCCGGCCGGCAUGGCCGCCCUGGGGUGGCGCGUCGUACGGACGGCGGAGGAAAGGGAGAGGGAAGAGGAGCAGCAGCCGACCCGAGGAGAUCGGCGGAGAAGGGAGAUCGAAAGGAGAAUGGGGGUGGAAACGGCGGCAAGGGGGACUAGGGAUCGGCCGGGUGCAGAUAUUUAUAGCCUCCAGGGGCGGCGAAGACGAGGCAAGAGAGAGAGAGCGACAGGGAGAGAGAAUUUAAAAGUACCCUUGUUUAGCGUAUAAUAUCGAUAUUGCCAUCAGCCAUUGGUAGGACGGCGCGUGGCAAUUAUGUUGACCUCCCACCAUUCCGCAGCUAUCUUUGUUUUUCUGGUGAAAAAAAUCCUUCAGCCCCUCUUAUGCCUUCCACGCUCGGGGAUGGUGGUCAGAACGUAAUUUUAUGAAAGAAAUGAGGGCAUUCUUUUCUUGCGAGAGGGCGUCUCUGAUUUGAACUUUGGAUGGAGGGUACGGUAGUCAUUUCGUCCCCCGUCUAUCCGCGAGUGGACGGCGAGGGCGGAGGAUCUCGGGGGGCUUCGCAGAGCCCCCUACGACCUGACGUGGAGUCCUGCCCGAUCGGUGAUGUCUCCACGUGGUUGAUGGUGACGGUGAUAACGACGUGUGGCGUGGGCCGAAGCCGGGUUCAUCUCAGGGGAAAAUCUGGACGUCCGAUAAGUGAUCCCAUGCUGAUCCCAAGCCGGAAAAAAAUUGAUGGAGGAUAUGAAUGCCACGUGUCCAGCUUUCACGACCGUCCCCCACCCAUUUGGUGUAAGCAAAGGUGGUCAAUUCGGAGAAAGCAGUCUAACCGGAUUCUAAUGGGCCGGCUUGUCGGUAUGCUCAGUCCAAAUAGGCCCAUUUUAGGCCCGUUAACGGCACACUCCGGCCAGAGAUCGGCGAGUAACGCGGAAGGGCUAGAAUAUACCCUGCAAUUUUCCAGAAACAACCCUUCUUGUGGACAACAUUCUUUUAUUUCCCCCACCCAAGGAUAUCUGGUAAGUACUGAACUUGAUGGGCCACGGUAAACGGGUCCUUUGUCGGCCCAACGGGCCCAAAACGGAUAUCAGUGAAAACCUCGAUCGCGGGAGGAAAGUGGGCCUCAAUCAACGGCUCAUACUAGGCCCAAUGGGCCUACAUGGACACUAAUGAGAACCUCGAUCCUGAUGAAACAGUUGGGUCGAUAACUGAGAUGAUUAGUUAGGCCCAUUAGCAUGGUUAUGGCCCAACCCGCCGACGAAUUCCUAGCGAGCUUCUGACCAUUUUGUUUAGAAAAAGAAUAAAUACGCUUCAUUAUAGGUUUUAAUAUAUUAUAAUAUAUAUAAAUUACGGAACAAUAUAUUCGGAAAAAAAUAUGAAUUCGAGGACCCUAAUUUCCAUGCCAGUAAAGAUUUUAGGUCCUUACACGCUGGGUCUAUUUGUUUCCUCUCUCUCUCUCUCUCUCUCUCUCUCUCUCUCUCUCUCUCUCUCUCUCUCUCUCUCUUAGUCUGGUUCUAGGGUUUUAGAGGCUCCACACUUCAGCGCCUGCCGGACCUUCGCUGUGGUGUAUCCUCUGCUGUCGCCCGAGAUCCCUAACCAUCGCCGCAGACCGAGGGGGGGAGCUGUGAGCCAUGGACAGGUACCAGAGGGUCGAGAAGCCGAGGCCGGAGUCGGCCAUCAAGGAGAAUGAGAUCCGUAUUACGACCCAGGGGAUGAUACGUAACUACAUCAGCUAUGCAGCAACCUUGCUCCAGGUCCGUCGCAUCCACAAUCUGGGCUCUCUCUCCAGAUCGGUUUCGGACUGUAUUUCCUUCUCCCUUGAGUAGCAUUGGUGAAUCACUUUCGAAGAGUUCGGGCAGUUCUAAUGUGUCGUCUAAUUGUGGGUUAUUUUUAAAUGCGCUCGGCUCCCUCUCUCUGUCCCCCCCCCCUCCACCCCCCUGCUACUAUUUCUCUCUCUGUUAUGAACCAGCGUUUAUAUUUUCCGUCUGAUACUGUCUGACAUUAUAAGCGUAUUUUCUGAUGAUUAAUUCUCAUCAUUUCAAAUGCUCCAUCUAUCUGUUUCUGCGUAUCAUUUUCCGCUGGGAUUUGAGUUUUUUUAACCGAUGUUUCAUUGCUCUAAUGAGCUAAUUAAUGACUUCUGUGUGCCCUCGAGUGUUCUAGAUCACAAUGUAUUGCGAACGACUUGUAAGACUCGCACCAGUUCUAAUGUCGAUCUUAAUUUUAUUUUGCAUUCUGUUUCCCGAUGGUAGGGGUAACAUAUUUCCAUCCAUUUUCCGAGGUCUGUUGGCUGUUUCUCGGUUCUAGCAGGUUCAGUAACGCAUCGUACGCCGUUGGGUGUUUCGAUUCGAUAUCUCUGCGCUUUUGCAUGCCUUUCUUAUCUUCAGUAUUAUAUCCUUUGGAAUGCUUUGCACUCACAUUUAAAUAAUUUUUGGUUCUUCGCAUUACCUUAUGUGGAAGUACAAUUGAAGCGCAGAUGUUUCCUGGUUUUGGGCGGCUCAUUGGUCGAGGAGCAGUUAGCCCUGUGGAAAAUUUCUGUUGUUUCCAUUUUACUAUGCCAAAACAUCCAGAAAUCAUCAGGGUUUUGUCUAGAAAUCUGCCUAGAUUUAGUGUAAUUUUUUUCCAAAAUUGUCCUCAUGUUACAAAGAUGUCGUUAUGAAGCUGGAUGGAUUCUCAUCUUGUCGACCCAAGAUAAUCUAAGACAAUAUCACAAGAAAGAUCUGAAUUUGUGGAUCUCAUCUGCAGCUAAGUUCUGAGUUAAAUUGGGUAGUCUCUCAUCUCCUGGAAUCCGUGUCAUCAGUAAUCUCUAUCUCGGGGCACCUGUAUAGUACCACUGUCAGAAGCUUUGUUUGAGUGCCAUCUCCAGGCGCCUUUAGGAACUCCCAGUUUAGGAAAACCCAGUGAAACUGUUAGCAAACAAAUUCAGAUCCUUGAAUGUAUUAUUCUUAUUUUCUUCGGGUAACCUCACAUAAGUUUAUAUUACAUGAUAUGAAAUGUUGCAUGUGAUUCAUGGCAGGUGGUAUCUUGAGCUAUGAGUAAGAAGUACUUGACCGUUCUGUUUGAAAUAAGUAUAAUCUCAUGUCCAUCUCGUUCGGAUUGCAAGGGACUCUGUCAUGCUUCACUCUUUUAUGAACUUUUAUCCUCAUUUCCUUCCCAAUUUGGGUUCCCAUUUUCUUGUUUUAUCAAAUAUUUGCCCAUCUGCUUUUAAGGACUAUUCACUUUGCUUUGGCCAUAUGGCAUUUUUAUUGCCCUUCUAAAUUAUUUUUAUUCUCUAAUGUUUUAUGCAGGAAAAACGAAUGAAAGAAAUCGUAUUGAAGGCAAUGGGGCUGGCAAUCAGCAAGGCCGUUGCCAUUGUGGAGGUUAUAAAGGUUGGCGCCAUUGAUUGCACACCGUAUCCUUUCCUCAUUUCUCACACACCGUUCUUGAUAUUUAUGGAGUCUGGCUUCUGACAACAGAAGAGGAAUCCCGGGUUGCAUCAGGACACCAAAAUCAGUUCCACCAGCAUCGUUGAUGUGUGGGAGCCCAUUGAAGAGGGCCUUGUGCCGUGAGCCUUCUUCGUUUCCAUUUUUAGAUCGGAAGAGGUUCCAGAGUUAGCUCUCAUAGCCGCCUGACGUCGGGUGGAUAUUUUUUGCAGCCUUGAAAUGACCCGCCAUGUCUCGGUGAUCUCAAUCACUCUGUCACGGAGAGAGUUGGACAAGAACUCCCCGGGGUAAUCAAUGUAUUUUUGUCGUGACCUCCAUUUUUGUUGGUUUAAAGCUUCUAAAACUGGAAACGACGGAAACCAUGUUAUUCCCCUUUCUGAAUCAGGUACCAAGCACCUGCACAUGUGGAGCAUGCCAGGCCACAUUAUCAGUAUCAGCAGAAGCAGCAAUGGCAGCAGCAGCCGCCGCCCCAGGGCAAGGAGGCCCAAGGGGCUGUGGCAGAAGGUACUCUGCCAUGAACUGGCAGACAGCUCCGUCUCGGCUAAGGUUUGACCAUAGACUGACCAGUAGGCCCUUAUAAUCUUUAGAUUCAAACGGCCAAGGACCCGUUCGUGGCCGGGGAAGAGGGCGCGGCUGGGGCAGAGGUGGAUAUGGUGGUGGGUACCGCGGAGGAUAUGGUGGUAGAUAUGGCGGCGGUGGCUAUGGCGGCGGGUACGGUGGAGGAUACGAUGGUGGGUAUGGGGAGGGCUACGAUGAAGGAUACGAUGAGGGAUAUGAUGGAGGAUAUGGCGGAGGCUAUGGAGGCUACAACAACAGCAACAAUCGAGGUAUAAUACCACUUAAUAGUAUUUUCUUCCUCCUGGUUGAAUGAUGGUUUGAAAGGCUGUAAGAUCUUGUUUUGGCUUCUUGGGUUCCUUCUAUUCCAUGUCAACGCUCUGUUUCACCAUCUGGCUGUUGACUUUUGGCCAGAAAAUGGUGGAUGGAACCACGGUUGGGGCCGAGGCGGUGGUCGUGGCAGAGGCUGGAGCUAUCAGGGUAAGACCAUGUUCAUCACCGCUGCAUUCUUAUGCCCAUAUGAAGAAAAUGCAUGACCCGGUUGACCCAACACUGCAGUUUUGGAAUAUUCCCUCAUUGGGGAACAACGAAUAAGCUGGAUGCUUACUCUAUCUAGCUGAUUGCUUGAUCUCAUCGUCAAGGGCAGUAGCUUGCGUCAUGGCCGAGAAUUUUCCUGAUUAUUUUUUAAUGUGUUUCCAUGGCAGGUGCUGGGUACGAGAGAGGCAGGGCCGGCGGCGCUGGGAGAGGAGGAUACGGCCGAGCCAGGGGCAGGAUGGGCAGCCGGGGCAGGGGAAACCAGGCGUAGGGAGCGCCGCCUGCGGGCCCUCUCCAUCUUCGUUGCUGGUGGGUCUGCUUCUGAGGUAGGGGAAAGAGAGAACCUUUCUUUUGAUGAUCUUUGUGAAGUCGUGAGGCUCAUCGCUUUCACUGGAUCUCUUUCUUGAAAGACGUCAUAUCAGCUCGCUUUCUUCCUGUUUGGGGAGCGUUUAGAGAGAGAGAGAGAGAGAGAGAGAGAGAGAGAGAGAGUAGAGAGAAGAAGUAGGUNNNNNNNNNNNNNNNNNNNNGAGAGAGAGAGAGAGAGAGAGAGAGGAGAUAGAGAGAGAAAGAUGGGUUGCUGUGAUUCUCGCUGCUGUCCAUCCCCCGUGUUGCCUGUAUCUAAUGUUCCAUUCUAUUUUCCUGGUGCUCCCUCCCCUGUCAGGCUUUGACUGCCCGUCGCUUACUAUUAAUUAUUAUUAUUAAUAAUUCACGUAGGUAUUUAUUUUGCUAUUUCAUCUCAUUAAGUUCCCCCAGAAAGAAAUGGAUAAUUAGCCAUAGGUCCUCCAAAUUUUGGUCUAAAAUGUAAAACCCUACUCUCUUUUUUUUUGGUUGUGAUGAUUGUGACCCAGUCGUCGAAGUCUCCCGCUUUAAUACGGGCGAAUAUCCGUCGGUCACCCUUCGAGUUAUUGCUUUCUUUGAGAAUACCCAAAAGGCCAAGCCGGCCGGGCCGGUCGGUGGGGAGACGGGCACAUAUGUGAGGGUGUUUUGGUCAUUUCCCAUGGAUUAAUCAGAUCGCAGAUCUGUACGUUACUCGGCCGGAUUAAUUAGAAUUAGAUCAGUGCUCCCUCGCCCUUCCCAUUACUUACUUUUUUAGUCCUCCUACCAGUGUCCCCCUAGCUAUAACCCAACUUUUUUGGGUUUUUCGUGAAAAUGCCUUCCACGAACAGAGUCGCGCCAACUGGAGAGGUUCCUCUGUACGACGUACCCGGCCCAGAAGGACGCCACAUUCAUAGCCCUCUCUCUCUCUCUCUCACUCUCGGGGUUCAGAGACCGCAUCGCGGGAUCAUCGAACGGACGGCGUCGGAUCAACCUCGUCCCGUGCACCCCUUCUCCGCCACAUCAGACGGCUGGUGAGCGGGCCCCACGGCUUUUGUUUAUCUCGUUAGUUAGCCCCGGGUCUUCGAGGAGAGACGCCAAUCGAUGGACUCCGUCCGUAGACGGCUUCCCGUCCGGGUUCGUUCUCCGCUUCCCGGAAUAAAUUAUAGCUCCCCGCCGCGCCCCGGGCUCUCUCAUCGGAGAGGGAGAAGGGAGAUUGCAGCGUCCUCCUCCGGCGCAGCGCCCCGAGGAGAGAGAGAGGGAGCGAAUCGAGGCGAGGGGUUGACUGGAAGAUGUCCGCGGCCGCGGCGGAGGGGGCGAGAAGGGCGAAGCCAGCGGCGGCGGCGGCGGUGGAUAAGGGUGAUCUGUUCCACGUCGUCCACAAGGUCCCCGCCGGGGAUAGCCCCUACGUCCGGGCAAAGCACCUGCAGGUAUGGGAACGAUUUUGAGGAGCUGAACGCCGGGAUCCCUGUCACUUUCCUCCUCCAUCUUUCCAGAUCUGCGUUUUUUCUGGUCGGGAGAAUCUGUUAGUUUUCCGUCCUUUCGCGCGGUUUCUAUUCGGGAGGGACGGAGCGUCGCGGGAGCUUAUUGCGCGGGGAAUCUUCCGCUUCAUCUCCUUCCCAAUUGAAUCGCGAAUAUGUGAGGAUCUUGCUCCGGGAGAAAGGAAACGAAGAGGAUCCGUGUGAUUUCUUGGUCGGCACUCUUGAUCUGGUUUCACCGCGCAUUUUUAUUCGCAGAUUGUUACGUCAGUUCAAUGAGGAAAAAUCCUUGAAUCGUGUCGUUCUCAUCGGGAUCGAGCCAGGUUCGCAUCUCUGAUUUUCUUUGACUAUUAAGGCGUGGCAGAUUCAAGCCUAUCGUUGAUUUAUCCUCCUACAUGUGUACGGCAUCUAUUCUUCCCCCGUCAAGGGACAGCACUUUCCCUUGCGGAUCCUUUAUUCUCUUCCAAGGUAGAGUCCGAGGAGGACGACAGAUACGAAGUUCCGUGGUUGCGACGAUUUACUGUCGCGAUCUAAAACGUGGAACAUGACAGAAAGCGUUCCCUUUCUCUGCAAGCGCACCGAGAGCCUGAUUUCCGGCGUCAUAAACGUUUUAUGAGGAAUUUUUCGGCCGCUCGUUGAUGUCUGCGUGUACGACCAAGAGCACCCGCCGAGACCACGGAUCGCAGCUUUCCGCCUGUUCAUCCUCGAUAAUUGAUCUCCCAUGCACGCGCAAACUAGUCUAUCGGGCGAUUUUUCCAUGAGUUCAUGCUUCCGUUGAUACCGACGGAUAUUGAAGAAAUUAUCUUCUGCUGCAGCUGGUGGACAAGGAUCCUGCGGCUUCGAUCGUCUGGUUUUGGAAAGCGAUCAACGCGGGAGACCGGGUGGACAGCGCGCUGAAGGACAUGGCCGUGGUGAUGAAGCAGCUGGACCGAGCGGAAGAGGCCGUUGAGGCCAUCAAGUCCUUCCGGCACCUCUGCUCCAAGCAGGCCCAGGAGUCCCUCGACAACGUCCUCAUCGACCUGUACAAGGUACUGGUUUUGCAGCCCACGAUCGCCGCCGAAUCCAUGCAGGGAUCCCGUCUUCUUCGUUGCUGACUCUGUGGAUUAUCCAGAAAUGCGGGAGAACCGAGGAGCAGAUCGAGCUUCUGAAGCACAAGCUGAAGAUGAUAUACAUGGGGGAGGCGUUCAACGGGAGGACAACCAAGACCGCCCGCUCCCACGGGAAGAAGUUCCAGGUCUCCAUCAAGCAAGAAACCUCCCGGAUCCUGGUCAGUAUCUACGCCCCCGUCUCCUCCCUCUCCUCCCCAUCGCCGCCAUCUCUUCUCCGAGCUGACCCUGGCUUCUUCCUUCUGGUACCCGGCGAUCCGAUCAGGGCAACCUGGGCUGGGCGUACAUGCAGCAGAAGAACUACGUGGCGGCAGAGGUGGUCUACCGCAAGGCGCAGGAGAUAGAACCCGACGCCAACAAGGCCUGCAACCUCAGCCUCUGCCUCGUGCGGCAGCGCCGCUACGAGGAGGCCCGGGCCAUCCUCGACGACGCCCGCGGGACGUGGCUGCCGGGCUCCGACGACCCCAAGAUCCUAAAGCGCGCCGAAGAGCUGCUCCACGAGAUCGACUCCCUCUCGCCGCCCUUCCUCUCCCUCCCCCCCGAGGAGGACCUCAUCGGCCAGCUGGAGCUCCUGACCGCUGAAUGGUCCUCCCCCGUCAGCAGGUCCCGGCGCCGGCUCCCCAUCUUCGAGGAGAUCUCCACCUUCAGAGAUCAUCAGAUAGCCUGCUAGGCCCGCCCGCCUCCCGUAGAUUCCUCCGUGUACAUAGUGGGAAGAUUGCAUUUUUGCCGUCGGUAGGGGGAGAAAGAAGCCAUGGCGGCGAUGGCCCCCCCGGAAGGUGGCCGGGCUUCGCUGCAGGAAUAAGAUCAGGGAGCCGUCUCGUCCCAGCGGAUGACGCCUGCUCCCCCAUCUCCCGCAAGGUUAGCGUCAAUAAUCGUCGGGGCUUCGUUCUGGACGCUUGCAUGAAUAUACCCAAUUUGUUAUCAUCUUAUUCUCCUGUAAUAUCUUCGUCGUACCCAUGCACGUGCCCCCCCUCAUAGACAGCCGAAGAGGCUGCCACAAUAAUCCCAUACAUAUAUAUAUUUAUAUAUGUAUCUGUUAAAUGUCAUCAAAGUUCUUGUCCCAGUCGGAGACAUUAUCUGUUCAUGAAUUACUUAAAUUAUUCCAACCGGCAAGCAAUGAGAGUUGGUGCCCAGUGAAUAAUAAUUACUGGGUCUGCCCGGUAAAUAAUCCCACCUCUCUCAGAUGUACAUAUAUAUAUAUGUAUAUUAUUUUUUAAAAAUAUUUAUUUUAUCAGAAUUAACCAGCAUCAGUUCUUAGGUACCGUAGUUACCCAGGAGAGCGUACGGAAAUAAAUCCCGCGUCUGCUAUUAGAGAAAAUAAAAAAGAAAAUUCCAUUGUGAAAGACCCGGAAGGCCUCGUGUGUGAUAUUAAUUAUGAGAUAUAAAAGUAAAGUAAUUAUAUCUAGUGUUCCUCCGGUUUUAUCUCCUUGGUUCCGGGAAUUUAUCGUAUUCGGGGGGAGAUCGUCAGGAUUUUUGGUGUGCUGGCGCAAGCAUGACGUCAUAAAAUUGUAAAUUUAUGGCAAUUUUUUUGUAAGUGGGCUGGUCCAGCCGGGGGAGAACUCGGACCCCGGAUGGCCUGCGGGCAUCGGGCUUUUAAAAGCGCGCAGCGGCACGGCGAGUGCAGGCAGGAGCGACGGCGACGGCGACGGCAGCUACCCGGAAGGAGCCGGAAGAGAGGUAGAUUGUUCGAUUGUGCGAGGGUCGGAGUGCUAGGGGGAGAGAUCCGGGGAGGAGGAGGGGGCGGAGAUGGCGUCGAGGCAGAUGGAGGAGAUCCAGCGGAAGCUGGGAACGCUGGGAUAUAUUCGGGGGGCCAAUGCUCCCGCUCAGUCCCUCCUCUUCGCCGGCGUAGAGCGUUACGCGCUCUUAGAGUGGCUCUUCUUCAGGUGAGAUAAGGCCCGUCGUCGGCACCGCUGAUCAUUGUGCUGGUCGCCCGCCCAAUUUCGUUUCUCCCUUGCCCUGAAUGACGUCGACUGUGCUGACUGUUCUGUUUAGCAAAACCUUUGCCGUGCUCUCCGUCUGUCUGUCCAUCGGAUCGUCACCAACAUUACGUCACUGGUCCUCUCACCCCGUUCUAAAUGAGCACUGUUGAUUCGUCCUGUGAUUGACAGGCUUUUGGGGGACAAAUCACCAUUCACCCAGCAGAAUUGGCAGGGUGACAGCAUGGAUCACGACGAAGAGACAUCACGCAUUCAACGUAUAUUACUUUUUUUCAUCGCAUAUUAUCUUGUUUCUCUUAUUGUACGCACUUACGCAACAUUCUUUCUACCGUCAUUUCAUUACGUUCAAAACGAAUGCCGACAUAUGGCUGUUAAUCGAAUAAACAAUGUAAUGUACUCUAGUUACAAUGCAUGUCUGCAUCCGUCCAGUUUGUGUUCUUCCAAGUGGUGCAGACUUCUUUGUUAUAAUGCCUUUUCUUUUAUUUUAUUCCCUUUUCAAGACUUUUUUUGCGAUUAAACAGAUUAGUACCUGAUAUAAAUUUUUUUAUUCUUGAAAGUACUUUCUUCCUUUAGUAUUCGUGAGACAGUUUUAAUAAAUUGAAAAAGGAAAGAAAACUCUGUUGAUGGUUUGUGCCUCUUAUCUUAAUUUUGAUCGUUUAUUGAUCGGUAGUUCAUAUUUUCCAGCACCAUGAAUAGCAAAUAACUGUUUAGUGGUGUUCUGCAGAUUUGGCUGAGAUAGCAAAUUUCUUAGGCAUCACUUCCUCGGUUGAUACAGAAGCCAUGCAAGUGAGUUGCCAGUUUCUCUUUGGCUGAUCAUGAUGGUACAUUCCAUGCCAGUUCUGAGCUCAUUACAACACUUAAUUUCGCUGCAUGUUCCAAAUAAAAGAUUCUAUAAUUUCCAGCUAUUUCAUGUACCAAUUUAAAAUCGUCAAAUGACCUAUUAUUCCUAUUAUGGUUUUUCAGCAGAUCAUAGUGAGAGAGGCAGUGACCCAUUCCCCUGUUGCUUAGAAAGGGAGGCACGGUGACACUAUCAUCGAUUUUCAUGGUAUAUAAGGCCUAAGGAAGUGUAGGCCCAAAUAUCAAGUAUUUCAUAGGCUGAUACAUUGCCAAUUUGGUUAUUUUCACGGAAUCCAAUAUCCUUGUCCUCUUGCACGUUAUUCUCAACAACGUUCUAGACAGCUCUUCCUUCUCCACUCAGGACUGACGUUAGGACGCUCCUUCUGUGAGUCAUCUACCUUUUUGAUGAUAAAAAAAACAAUUGGGUCCUCAUUUAGUAAUAUAAAACCAUCAUUGGUAUUUGAUGAAGAUGACUGAGAACCACCGUAACAAAAUUAAGGAUUCUCUCCACUCAAUUCACGAGUGGAGGGGCCCAGGGAGCAUGAAAAUUCAAUAUUUUCAUGGUCUCUUUGUAUACUUCUCUGGUUCCUGCAAGUACAACCUCCAUUGCAGAUAAUUUAUAAUUUGAAGUUGAAUCUUUUUUUUUUGUGCAUCUAUUUAUUUCCUCUGUUUUCAGGAAGUUCUUGCUCUCUUUCAGUUGUUUUUGCUCAUAAUAGUUAUGUGGGUAAGAUGUUGUCAAAUGAAUCAUGCAAACUGCACCCAGUGACUCUCUCUCCUUUUCGGCCAUGGAAACGAGACUUGCAUCCUAAAAAUAUUCUUUUUGAAUUUUUUAAACAUGAUAAUUACAGGGAAAAGGUAGCUAUGAAGAACGUGUUGAAAUGCUUCGUCUUAUUGUAGAUCUUGUGGAAGCGAGUUGCUACUCUGACUAUCCAGAAUGGAGGUCGAGUUCCUAUGCGUACUGCCAUAUAUAACUGACUGUUUCCUCAAGCUUAUUUAUGAUUGACUGUUGGUAUGCCAUUUCCUGAAGUGUUGAUGAGCAGUUGGCAAAGGAUGUGCAAUUGUUAGAUUCCAUAGCGGAAAAACAAGCCCAGAUCUUCUCCGAAGAGUGCAAGUUAUUUCCUGCAGACGUGCAGAUUCAGUCUCUAGUUCCGCUGUAAGAAUAUUCCCACCUUACACAAACCUUGGAGAAUGAACAUGAAAAAUGAAAAAUGGAGUCCAUUUACCUGCCGAUUCAUUCAAUAAUUUCUUUCUGAUCUUAUCCUCACGCAGACCGGACAUUUCUGAGUUGGAGCUAAAGCUUUCUGAGCAUUCAAAGAAACUCACUACUUUACAACACAUGGUGCAGGACUUGGCAUCUAAGGUCACUCGUUUCCUUGUGCAUUCAGUUCUCUGUUACCGAAUUUAUCUUGGCAUCACAUUUUAAAGGACCAAGUUUCUAUCUUUGUCAGAAAUUUUUUUCAGCCCAUCUUCGUGUUUUGGUCAACGCUCCUUGGGAAUGCAACGGUACUCAGUUACUAUGUGACAAGAGAGAAAAAGAUCUUGAGAGCUCCCAUUAUUGAAUCGAGAACAGACCUAUAUUGAUUGCACAUUAUCGAAUCUCCCUCCACCACCCUCACAUUAUGCCUCCACGUGUGCAAUAUUCAUCUCACAGGGUUUAGCUUUUUGUCAGCAAGUUGAUGCUCCAUGUCAUGUUGAAUAAAAGCAUGCGUUGACUUUAAUAAUUUUCAUUUUACUGAAACUGACUCUUCGAUGGACUCACCGCUCGUUCCCUUGCGCAGUAUCCUUACAAUCCCAACGAGGAAUAUGGAGAAACAGAGACUCGGCUCCGGGCAGGUCUGGAGUCCUUCCUGGAGACCGUGAGAUCCUUCAAUUUGAUUUACACGAAGGUAAACUACGACCCGGCUGCGGUUUCUUUCCCAAGCCUCUGUCUCUGUCUCUGUCUCUGUCUCUGUCUCUGUCUCUGUCUGCGUUCUGUGGGCUGUGCUUGCCGAAGGGGGCCGUGGGACUGGGCCAGUCCGUACAACCCACCUUAACCCAUCAACCAGUUCUUGCUAUGGCUUUCGACGCUGUUCUGUUUUUUUUUCUAUUUUUUUUCCACUGAACCUUCCUUUCAUUGUAACUCCUGCGGUCGUCUGUGAUCCUGCCGCUUGCAGGAAAUCCGCCCUUGGACCCACAUGAUGGAAGUGCCUCAGCUGCACGGCUUUGGCCCCACCGCCAAUCGCUUGUUGGAGGCUUAUAACACUCUGUUAAAGGUAAAUAUAUUUAUAUAUCGACAUUUUUAGCGCAGAUGCUGCUCGUCUCUGUCUGUCUGUUCUGGGUAUUUCUGAAUAUUUGGUCUCUUUUUUUUUUCUUCUCUGAUGGCAGUUCCUGGGGAGUCUGAGGGGGCUGAGGGACUCCUACGCCGCCAUGGCCGCGGGAAGGGAGGCGGCGGGCGACGGGCCUUCCUCGUCCUCCUCGUCCUCGGUGUCGGAGAUCAUAGCGGAGUGCGAGUCGGCGCUCACGUUUCUCAAUCGCAACCUCGCCGUGCUCUCCGCCGCCGUCGCGCGGGAGCGAGGCGCCGGCCUGCCGGCGUCUGCUACCUCCUCGCUUCCCCGCUAACGCCUCCUCUUCGGUCAAUCGACUCUGAGACCUUCUAAACUCUCUCUCUCUCUCUCUCUCUCUCUCUCUCUCUCUCUCUCUCUCUACNNNNNNNNNNNNNNNNNNNNNNNNNNNNNNNNNNNNNNNNNNNNNNNNNNNNNNNNNNNNNNNNNNNNNNNNNNNNNNNNNNNNNNNNNNNNNNNNNNNNNNNNNNNNNNNNNNNNNNNNNNNNNNNNNNNNNNNNNNNNNNNNNNNNNNNNNNNNNNNNNNNNNNNNNNNNNNNNNNNNNNNNNNNNNNNNNNNNNNNNNNNNNNNNNNNNNNNNNNNNNNNNNNNNNNNNNNNNNNNNNNNNNNNNNNNNNNNNNNNNNNNNNNNNNNNNNNNNNNNNNNNNNNNNNNNNNNNNNNNNNNNNNNNNNNNNNNNNNNNNNNNNNNNNNNNNNNNNNNNNNNNNNNNNNNNNNNNNNNNNNNNNNNNNNNNNNNNNNNNNNNNNNNNNNNNNNNNNNNNNNNNNNNNNNNNNNNNNNNNNNNNNNNNNNNNNNNNNNNNNNNNNNNNNNNNNNNNNNNNNNNNNNNNNNNNNNNNNNNNNNNNNNNNNNNNNNNNNNNNNNNNNNNNNNNNNNNNNNNNNNNNNNNNNNNNNNNNNNNNNNNNNNNNNNNNNNNNNNNNNNNNNNNNNNNNNNNNNNNNNNNNNNNNNNNNNNNNNNNNNNNNNNNNNNNNNNNNNNNNNNNNNNNNNNNNNNNNNNNNNNNNNNNNNNNNNNNNNNNNNNNNNNNNGAGAGAGAGAGAGAGAGAGAGAGAGAGAAUACCGAGAAGCAGGUCCCCUCCAUUAAAGCGACAGGGGUGAGAUUCAUCCUGUUGGUGACGUCGCCCACGGCCCAGAUGCUGGGGACGUUGGUGCGAGAGUACUCAUCCACCUGGAAACACAAGCGCGGUGCAGGGUAUUCAGCAUAGAGACGAUGAACUCUGUCGUCUGAUGCUAGAGAGAGAAAGUCAACCCUCCGAACUCCGUUCAGCAUCUCAUCCUCGCAUGAAAAACCGUACCCAUCAUCCCGGCGGAAAUCAUGAAAUAAAUCCCGUUUAUUUAAAACCCAACAAAAACCCAGAGAUCAACGUCAAUUCGGAAUGCAGCAUCGCCAUGCAAGUCAUGAUCAUACCUUGAUAGCUCCGGCUCGAUCGGUUUCCACUCCGACGGCUUCCAAGUUCAGUCGCUUCGUGUUCGGACUUCGACCUGCAGCCGCAAGCUAAAUCAGUGCACCCGAGACCUUGCCGUAAAUAGAUCCCGCCAUGGCAUCUUGCGCAAGAUAGAUGAACAGGGAAAUUCCGGACUGUAUGAGGAAAUAUGCCGGCCAGCGUAGAAAAAUACAGAACGAGCUUCGUUCGGAUAAGUGCAAGACGCGCUCGCAGGAUUAUUUCAAUGGAUGGGUCUUAUUCUAAGUGCAAGAUGGCGGCUCUGCCGAUUCAUGCAGCCCAGCCCAUAUGAGAUCUGCAAACAGGACGAGCAGAAGCAGGAGGCGAGAGAACACGGCGUACCGGUGGCAAACAAGACGACAUCUGCAGUCAGCUCGUCCCCCUUGUCGGUGAGAACUCUGAUGCCGCCCUCUGUUUUGCUCAGCUGGGGGAGGCGAAGAACAGACAUCGCCGGGCAUUAUAGGGGGGCCCGAAAGGCAGUACGAGGAGGAGAGCGGGGAAGGGAUCGCCGGCGUACCUCAGACAGAUUGGUUCCUGGAUGCAGCCUGAUUCCUCUUCCCUCGAGAUUCCUUGCGACCACGGCCCUCAUUUCGCCAUCGAAGCCUCUGCGCAUGAACGGGUGGGUCCAGAGAUCGGCUGUUAGCGCCCACCAUGCCAGCAUGAACGAGGAUAUUUAAGGUUGCAAAUGAACGAUGACAGCAUUUUAUUGCGUAGAAAACUUGGAGCAGAAACGAUUCGUCAGUUCACAUCUAUGAACUUUCAAGGGAGAGGGACUCGAGGAGAGGAUGUUUUUUGAUGAGCUUUGGAUGCUUGGAGAGGACGAUCAUCGUUAUUAUAUUACCGUCAUUUGUUAGUGAUUGACACAAUUUACAUCGCAGCCUUCUGGAUACUCUCACAAUAUCCAUCGAAUUUCUGACAAAUUAUAGAAGUAAUUGAUACUUUUGGUCUUCAUGACGCCACACAACAGGAGUUUUGUAGUAUUGACAUGGGCUUCAGAUGAUUUUCCGCAAGAUGCAAACAGAAAGAACUAUUGAUAAAAAUAGGAUAAGACAGGAUCGAAUGCAGCGAUGAUGAAAUUUGUAAUGGAUGGCACAAGAACUGCAAGGCAUGGCAAAACCUCAGAGGAAGUUCCCUUCUGUAAAAUAGGUCCACUGUGGCACCCAUUCCACGCCAUAUUGAAGCAAAUUCGACGGCAAUAUACCUGAGUUAAGAAAAAAGUCGAAUCAGGAACUAGAUCACAAAACGGGAGUCAUAACUUAAUUAAAAUAUCAUCAAAAAAAUAAUCUACAACGAUGGAGCAUGUUGAAAACACAUACCCUCCGCCUAGAAUCACAACAUGCUUUGGUAACUCUUCCAAGCUCAACGCUUCAUCCGAUGUGAUAGCUAGUUCCUAAAAAACAAUUUCAACCGUAAGAUACCAUGUCACGGGGGGGGGGGGGAGAGAGAGAGAGAGAGAGAGAGAGAGAGAGAGAGAGNNNNNNNNNNNNNNNNNNNNNNNNNNNNNNNNNNNNNNNNNNNNNNNNNNNNNNNNNNNNNNNNNNNNNNNNNNNNNNNNNNNNNNNNNNNNNNNNNNNNNNNNNNNNNNNNNNNNNNNNNNNNNNNNNNNNNNNNNNNNNNNNNNNNNNNNNNNNNNNNNNNNNNNNNNNNNNNNNNNNNNNNNNNNNNNNNNNNNNNNNNNNNNNNNNNNNNNNNNNNNNNNNNNNNNNNNNNNNNNNNNNNNNNNNNAGAGAGAGAGAGAGAGAUAAUAAAAAAAUAUUCAAUAUUACACGCACUUUCACGUGAAAGUUUUACUCCAAGACAAGCAUAUGAACAAGAUAAGAGCUAUUUUAUGCUGCCGAAACACAAAAUAGAUCAGGCCAUUCAUCCAUCAAUCGACUAUAAGAUAGGGACGGCAUCAAUCAGCAUGAUAGAUAAGUCUCCAUGGUAUGGUAGGCAUGGAUCCCAACUAGUAACUUUUUAGCAAGGAAAAGAAGCGUCAUCUUAAAUAGAGACUGGAGCCUAUUUUAUGGCCAAAGACCCGCAGCGGGCAGCUGGUUACUGAGGAUGUAAAUGCAAAGAAUGCAGAGUUCAUGGAUGAAUAUUAAAAGGCGCCCGGGAUUGAGGGAGCGACAAGCUGAGCGCUGCUCGUUAUCAGGUAUCUGACGUAUUCCUGAGUCACCCUAGACAGCGUAUUUCAGCAAUCGACAAUGCUAGAUAAUUGCAGCAAUGAAUGUUAGAACCAUGCUGCUGGGAUCCUGCACCUGUAAGACUGAUGAUGUCCUUGCAACCAUGCACAGAGUACAUGUACAUCAGCUGAUGCUCUGCCAAUACUAACGAAGCCUAGAGAUCAUUAGUUACCUAUCAGGUAACACUGAGAAGGCUAGUUCCCAUUCAGUUCUGGUGCCCUGGUUUCCUAUGCUGAUGAAUGUACCCAUAGAUAGUGGCUUUCGAAAUGCUGUGCAGAAGGGUGCACACAGACAAUUCGGUUGACGUAAAGGAUGAAAGUUGAGGGAAAAAAAGAAAUAGUGGAGAAGAAACCGGAAAGAACACACAGUUAGCCCCACGUUGCCAUUUCUACAAGGAAAAGAUUUGAUCUCAUGUAUAGAGUUACACGACGUCCAGCUGUAUAUACAAAGCAAAGAAAUUGUGCUAUGCCUCAUUCUCAAUUUGCCAGUUAGCAAUGCAUAUAUUUAUAAUGGAAGAUAUUUCACUGAUAUCCUUACACACACUGAAGAACACCUAGCAACAGAAACACCCUCAAGAAAAAAAGAAAACGCCGCCAUUGUCCAAAAACCUAAAGGACAGAAUGGUCCUUCUAAAUCCUUCUAGGAGAUAAUGUAGGCAUCUGUGGUGCACAUCUAAGAUAGGAAUAUUAUUGCCUCAAAAUUUGCAUUUUAUAAAUGAGAGGACAGAUUAGUGAGGGUAAAACAUUCAUUUUUGGGGUCGGGCAUUUAAACACCCUCGGGGUUACAGGUGAGGGGGGUUUUUUGGGUUGUAAAAGGAUUACGGCUCCGCGAAGCUGUGGAGAGGACGAAAGGUCUCUUAAACUUUUUCCCUAGUGGUGUUAAGGCUUUGUUGAACCCUGUUUACCGUUUUGUAUUCCUUGCUAUCUGUUUUUGUUCCCCAACCCUGCUGGUUUUAGUUCUUGUGAUUGCAGCCAUUAGAGGAGGGGCAUACCACUUUUCACCUGAGCUUAAGUUGGUUAUUUUGGACAAGUGAUGACCGCAUCAUCUACCUUGUGUUUAAUUUGUUAACAUAAAUGUUGCGUAUUUCUGGUGAGUAGAUAGAAAACAAAUGACUACAGGAUGAUGAGGCUCAUCCAAGAGCUCUGGUAGAAAACAAAGGUAAACCAUAAGGCUCGAAACACAACACAUCUAUACAAGCUCUAUGUACAGCGCAUGAAACUCAAACCAAACAAUCAAAAGAUUUCCCAAUUAUGGGGAAAUGCAUGCAAGAUUCAACCUCUUGCCUAACAAUCAAGGGAUCCCACUGAUAUUUUGAUCAUUAAAUAUAAAUACUUCUAAAACUAGCUUAUUUAAUAGGUGUAACUCCACAAAGCCUAAAUCCAAUUAAUUUCAGGUCCAUUAGCUCCGGCAUACUCCCAUAUGAUUAAUCAUGUCUUAUGCUGGCCUCUGUGGCCAGACCUGUAGAUGAACGUGUACAACGGAUAUCUCAACAACAACUAAAACAGGAAAAAGGUUUCAUUAAAAUAUUUCUUGUCACCUUUAGCCUUUCUUAGUGUUUUAAAGGGGCACUUCCUCUGAUGAAAAACGAAACAAGAAUUCAUGUAGAAGUGAUAAUCAGAUCAGUAACACUCCAUAUUAUUAUCUAUUUCUAUGCAUGACCAAGUGAAAACAGUUACAGUUACAGUCGCAGCGGAAGAAAAUGCAUGGUCUGGCAGAAAUAAUACCUUCCCAGGAAUGUUCACCGGUUGAGCUCGGCUUCCAGUUGCAAUCAAGAUGUGUUUUG
rnacentral:lncRNA from 1 species